rnacentral:rRNA from 1 species
UACGUAGGGCGCAAGCGUUGUCCGGAAUUAUUGGGCGUAAAGAGCUCGUAGGCGGCCUGUUGCGUCCGCUGUGAAAUCCCGGGGCUCAACCCCGGGCGUGCAGUGGAUACGGGCUGGCUGGAGGCAGGCAGGGGAGAACGGAAUUCCUGGUGUAGCGGUGAAAUGCGCAGAUAUCAGGAGGAACACCAAUGGCGAAGGCAGCUCGCUGGGACGGUACUGACGCUGAGGCGCGAAAGCGUGGGGAGCAAACAGG